rnacentral:rRNA from 1 species
UACGGAGGGUGCAAGCGUUAAUCGGAUUUACUGGGCGUAAAGGGCGCGUAGGCGCAAAUCAAGUCAGCUGUGAAAUCUCUGGGCUUAACUCAGAACGGUCAGCUGAUACUGCUUGCUAGAGUGCAGAAGGGGCAAUCGGAAUUCUUGGUGUAGCGGUGAAAUGCGUAGAUAUCAAGAGGAACACCUGAGGUGAAGACGGGUUGCUGGGCUGACACUGACGCUGGAGGCGACGAAAGCUAGGGGAGCAAACGGG